AGAUCUGCAGCCCUACCCCAGCCUGAGGGUGACUAUUCAGUCCACUGUCAUUAGGUCCUCACAGACAGUAGGCCAACCAUGACCAGUUAGAGGCAGCUGGUAGCAUGAUGACAGAGGGUUUAUUUAGAUCCCUCCAGUCUCCACUUAGGAUUAGUGAAUCUGUCUGUGACAAGCUUCACUCGAUUCCACUGCCGGUCAGAGUGCCCCAUCUUAAGAUGGCGAAUGGAGGAGGGCGUCGCAAGGUGAUUGGUCAGAUGGGCAACCAAUUAAUUACCCGGAUUUGGGAUGUCACGUGGACUAAGACCGUUCUGAUUAGUUAAUCCGUCUGCGGCUUCACCGGUGCUUGAGCUGGUCAGGCAGCGGGCUAGCGAAGAGUAAGAGCAGGAACUGUGGGCGUGGAUUCCUAGAUUCAAGUUAAGGUCCGACUUUUCGAAGCCAUCGGAUUCGAGAAGUAUCCCGCUCUAGGCGCUAAUCCGCGUCCUGGCUGGUGAC
rnacentral:lncRNA from 1 species